rnacentral:tmRNA from 1 species
GGGCUUGUACUGGUUUCGACGGGGAUUUUGAAGUUCUAUAAGCCAUCCGUGGACUAGGACCACGAUAAAACUUAGACUUAAAAUUAAUCGCUAAUAAUAACGAUUACGCUCUUGCUGCUUAAUUUUUAAGCGGUAUGGGUUCCGGAUCAAUUUAGCAUCCGGUGUCAGCCGCACUUAACCUGCUAUUUGCGAUACUGGCAUCAAAUGACGCAGGGAACUUCGCUCUGAAAGCUUUGACGGAGCAGAAGAACUUAUGAAGCUACUGAUGCAUUAAUCCUGUCUGUGGGAUCUUGCAAAGGGAAUGUGCAGCGCCGCAAGGUUAGCCGCCUGAAUGCAGACUGUGAUGGAAGAAAGUGGAAUGAAUGGGUUUUCGGACAGGGGUUCGAUUCCCCUCAGGUCCAU